rnacentral:rRNA from 1 species
GACGAACGCUGGCGGCGUGCUUAACACAUGCAAGUCGUACGGUAAGGCCCUUUCGGGGGUACACGAGUGGCGAACGGGUGAGUAACACGUGAGUAACCUGCCCACAACUUUGGGAUGACGAAAGGAAACUGGUGCUAAUAAUGGAUAUGUGCUCCUGCUGCAUGGAGGGGGGGGGAAGGCUCCGGCGGUUGUGGGUGGACUCGCGGCCGGUCCGCUUGUUGGUGGGGGAGUGGCCUACCAAGGCGGCGACGGGUAGCCGGCCGGAGAGGGUGACCGGCCACCUUGGGACUGGGAUACGGCCCAGACUCCUACGGGAGGCAGCAGUGGGGAAUAUUGCACAAUGGGCGCAAGCCUGAUGCAGCAACGCCGCGUGCGGGAUGACGGCCUUCGGGUUGUAAACCGCUUUCAGCAGGGACGAAGCUUUUUGUGACGGUACCUGCAGAAGAAGCACCGGCUAACUACGUG